AAGGAUCAUUACUGAUUGCUUGAAUGCAUGCACUGUGUUUUAGAAUUAUACUGUCUCCGGUGGGGAAACACGCCGGAGGAUACUCAACAAAUCUUAUUAUUUUCAGUCAAACGAUACUAAUAUCAAAACUUUCAACAACGGAUCUCUUGGUUCUCGCAUCGAUGAAGAACGCAGCGAAAUGCGAUAAGUAAUAUGAAUUGCAGAUAUUCGUGAAUCAUCGAAUCUUUGAACGCACAUUGCGCCCCCUGGUAUUCCAGAGGGCAUGCCUGUUUGAGCGUCAUUUCUCUCUCAAACCCCAGGGUUUGGUAUUGAGUGAUACUCUCGCUAGAGCGUUUGCUUGAAAUGAAUUGGCGGUAGUCGUCGUAGUAAUCAAUGUAUUAGGUUCUACCAACUCGUUGUGUCUACAGUGAUGUCGCCCACAAAUCUCAAAGCUUGACCUCAAAUCAGGUAGGAUUACCCGCUGAACUUAA
rnacentral:rRNA from 1 species